AACUUGUUGGUAAAGGAAAGGGCAAGUCUGGUGCCAGCACCCGCGAGUAAUACCAGCUUUUCCAAUGUGCAUAAAAUGCAUUGUUGAGGUUAAAAAGCUCGUAGUUGGCCUUAUGAAGAUUGUAUAAUGAGCAUCUUGGAUGUUAUUUAAUCAUUAUCAUCANAAUAUUUUUAUUAUAUUAGAAAUAAUAUCAUAACUGUUCCUUUGAAUAAAUCAGAGGGUAUAAACCAGACAUUAUACGUUUGUAUGGUAUAGCAUGGAAUAACACUAUAGAAAAAUUUAGUGUGGUGUCCCUUAAUUUUUCAUGAUUUAUAGGAACAAACGGGGGCAUUCGUAUCGCUACGUUAGAGGUGAAAAUMAUGGACCGUAGCGAGACGUCUUACUGCGAAAGCAUUUCCCAAGAAUGUUUUCAUUAAUCAAGAACGAAAGUUAGAGGUUMGAAGGCGAUCAGAUACCGCCCUAGUUCCAAGCCGUAAACUAUGCCUUCUMGAUGUAUGAAUUAUUAGUUAUAAUAAUUUAAGCAUCUUCUCGGAAAGCGAAAGUCCCUCGGUUCCGGGGGAAGUAUGGUUGCAAACGCAGAACACUUAAAGGAAUUGACGGAAGGGCACCACCAGGAGUGGAGC
rnacentral:rRNA from 1 species